rnacentral:ncRNA from 1 species
UCAGGGUCCGGAGCGUUUACUUUGAAAAAAUCAGAGUGUUCAAAGCGGGCACCAAACUCGCCUGAAUGCCUGAGCUAGGAAUAAUGGAAUAGGACUCCGGUUCUAUUUUGUGGGUUUCCUGAACCAGGGCCAUGAUUAAGAGGGACGGCCUGGGGCAUUCGUAUUGCGCCACUAGAGGUGAAAUUUAAAGAUUUAAAGCAUUUCUCUGCUUUUUAUACAUUGUUUGCCAAUUUACAGU